rnacentral:tRNA from 1 species
GGAGGUAUAGCUCAGUGGUAGAGCAUGUGCUCAGCGUGCACAAGAUCCUGGGUUCAAUCCCCAGUGCCUCUA